UGGAGAAGCAGGGCACUUGCU
rnacentral:miRNA from 1 species